rfam:Aedes aegypti strain Liverpool supercont1.101 genomic scaffold, whole genome shotgun sequence.
UGUCCAGUAACUCCUAUCCCUACCUCCCCGUGGUGCCGCCUGGGGUACGAGUAACCGUAGGGAAGACCGGGUAACCAACCCUGGCGAGACCUUGGUCGUUUGCUGACAGGGAAGG